rnacentral:rRNA from 1 species
GUCUCAGUUCGGAUUGGNGUCUGCAACCCGACUCCAUGAAGCUGGAUUCGCUAGUAAUCGCGCAUCAGCCAUGGCGCGGUGAAUACGUUCCCGGGCCUUGUACACACCGCCCGUCAAGCCAUGGAAGCCGGGAGUGCCUGAAGUGCGUGAGCGUAAGCAGCGCCCUAAGGUAAAACCGGUGACUGGGGCUAAGUCGUAACAAGGUAAC